UACGUAGGUGGCAAGCGUUGUCCGGAAUUAUUGGGCGUAAAGCGCGCGCAGGCGGGAUAUCAAGUCUAUCUUAAAAGUUCGGGGCUCAACCCCGUGAUGGGAUGGAAACUGGUAUUCUUGAGUGUCGGAGAGGAAAGUGGAAUUCCCAGUGUAGCGGUGAAAUGCGUAGAUAUUGGGAGGAACACCAGUGGCGAAGGCGACUUUCUGGACGAUGUCUGACGCUGAGGCGCGAAAGCCAGGGAAGUGAACGGG
rnacentral:rRNA from 1 species